rnacentral:misc_RNA from 1 species
GAAAUGCGAUAAGUAAUGUGAAUUGCAGAAUUCAGUGAAUCAUCGAAUCUUUGAACGCACCUUGCGCUCCUUGGUAUUCCUUGGAGCAUGCCUGUUUGAGUAUCAUGAAAUCUUCAAAGUAAAUCUUUUAUUAACUCAAUUGGUUUCUACUUUGGUAUUGGAGGUCUUUGCAGCUUCACACCUGCUCCUCUUUGUUCAUUAGCUGGAUCUCAGUGUUAUGCUUGGUUCCACUCGGCGUGAUAAGUUAUCUAUCGCUGAGGACACUGUAAAAGGUGGCCAAGGUAAAUGCAGAUGAACCGCUUCUAAUAGUCCAUUGACUUGGACAAUACUUUUAUGAUCUGAUCUCAAAUCAGGUAUGACUACCCGCUGAACUUAAGC